ACGCCCAAGGAUGGGCGUGGUUCUAAAUAGCAGCAAGUUUUUCGCUAGAAAAACUUGUCGUUGAACAGUGUACACGGAAGUACACUGUUCAACAGGC
rnacentral:sRNA from 1 species